UGUUUAUUUGAAAAUAUUUCAAAACGGGAAAGAAGUUGGGUUUAAAGUUAAAAAAAAAAACACUAAUAAAUCGGAAAAAUACUUAAUUAAAUUCAAGUCAAUCGAAUGAUAUUUCUAAGCUCUAAUAAGAUGAUACUCUCGGUACUCCGUAAAUAAUUCAUUAGAAAGAUUCAAAUUUGAAUAUUCUUCCACAAAGGCUACUGGGGUAAAGUGUGCACGACCUAAAUUAUCACAAGAAUAUGAAGAACCUUUUUGGGACUCGAAUGUUUCAUAAAACUGGGUAUAUGCCAAAUAAUUUUUUUGUUAUUUCCCCAUAAACUGUAAUACCGUUUCAUAUAA